ACCCAGUUGAACCUCGGUGGUCCGUGGUGCAGGCUUCAAAAGGCGAAGCAACCUGUAGUCGAUUAGCAUCGAAGUGGUUCGAUUCCACCUGCUGGGUG